rnacentral:sRNA from 1 species
GGAUGUGAGGGUGAUCUAGCUGCCCAUUGAUUACCAGGGCUAUUGGUCUGAUCUGGCUGCCAGGUGUCCCUUUCCUCCUUGACCACUCC